CUAUCACCGCCGGUUUAACAUGAACCGGCGGUGAUGAGGUAUCACUGCCGGGUCCAGAGUAGGUGGUCGUAGUGGCCGUUGGAACCGGCGGUGAUGCUGAUUAUCACCGCCGGUUCGUGGUAGGAACCGUUGGUGAUGUCCUGCGAGCAUAUCACCGCCGGUUUGUAACACAACCCGGCGGUGAUAUUAAGCAUCACCAACGGUUCGUGUUUCGAACCGGCGGUGAUAAGCCUGUACAGUACAAAACCCCAACCCCUCCUUCCUCCCACCACCUUUCUUCUCCAACCCGACGGCCACACCUCUCUCCUCCAUUGUUGCUGCCGGAUUUUGCCGAAAUUCUCAUGAAACCUCACCAUUCUUGAUGUAUUGGCUCCACCAACUUAUUCUAAGGAUAAUUUCUCAUGAACACUCAUCAUGAAGUCAUCAUGGAGGCUCAUUAAAUUUUGAGGACUGGACUUCACAUAUUUGAUUCAAGAUGAAUCGAGGUUGGAUGUACGGUACAAAGGCUGGAAAUUUGGAAUUUGUCAAUGGUGUGGACUCGUUUGUGCAGACUGCCAAGGCACACAAGAAUCUACAAGAUGAUGGCUACGUGUAUUGCCCAUGCAUUGAUUGCAAAAAUCAGAAGCACUUUGGCAAUGUUGAGCAGAUCCGCUUUCAUCUGUUAUUCAGAGGUUUUAUGCCCAACUACCAAGUUUGGAAUAAGUACGGUGAGGUUGGUGAGACAAUGCACUCCGUCCAUGAGGACAGGUAUGAAACAGUGGAGGAAACAACUAACCCGGAAAUAGUAGAGGAAACCGGACAUGAAAGCGUAAAUGAAACCAUGCAUGAAACAUUAGUUGCUGAUGAUGUUGUGGAUGCACUAGACCAGAUGAUACGUGAUGGGGAACCGGAUUUUCUUGACAAAAAGAAUCUGAAGAAGUUGGAGCAGAUGAGGAUAGAUGCAAGAACACCACUUUACCCAAGUUGCAGCGUGUCUAAACUUGAAGCAAACCUGAUGCUAUUGGAGAUGAAGUCUAGUAAUGGUUUGUCAGACAAGGAAUUUGAUGAUUUGUUAAGCUUAUUGCAGAAGUUGCUGCCAAGCCCUAACAGGUUGCCUGAAAACACAUACCAGGCGAAGCAAAUGAUUUGCUCAAUGGGAUGGA